UCAAGUAAUUAAGUGCAUGUGGUGGAUGCCUUGGCAGUCAGAGGCGAUGAAAGACGUGAUAGCCUGCGAAAAGCUCCGGGGAGGCGGCAAAUAUCCUUUGAUCCGGAGAUGUCUGAAUGGGGGAACCCACCUACUUUAAGGUAGGUAUUGCAACAUGAAUACAUAGUGUUGCAAGGCGAACGAGGGGAAGUGAAACAUCUCAGUACCCUUAGGAAAAGAAAUCAAUUGAGAUUCCCUCAGUAGCGGCGAGCGAACGGGGAUCAGCCCAUUAAGUUAUGUGUGUUUUAGUGGAACGCUCUGGGAAGUGCGAACGUAGAGGGUGAUAUUCCCGUACACGAAAGGGCACACAUAAUGAUGACGAGUAGGGCGAGGCACGUGAAACCUUGUCUGAAUAUGGGGGGACCAUCCUCCAAGGCUAAAUACUCCUGACUGACCGAUAGUGAACCAGUACCGUGAGGGAAAGGCGAAAAGAACCCCUGUGAGGGGAGUGAAAUAGAUCCUGAAACCGCAUGCAUACAAGCAGUGGGAGCACCUUCGUGGUGUGACUGCGUACCUUUUGUAUAAUGGGUCAGCGACUUAUAUUCAGUAGCGAGGUUAACCGUAUAGGGGAGCCGUAGAGAAAUCGAGUCUUAAUAGGGCGUUUAGUUGCUGGGUAUAGACCCGAAACCAGGCGAUCUAUCCAUGAGCAGGUUGAAGGUUGGGUAACACUAACUGGAGGACCGAACCCACUGUCGUUGAAAAGCCAGGGGAUGACUUGUGGAUAGGGGUGAAAGGCUAAUCAAGCCUGGUGAUAGCUGGUUCUCCCCGAAAGCUAUUUAGGUAGCGCCUCGGACGAAUACCAUAGGGGGUAGAGCACUGUUUCGGCUAGGGGGUCAUCCCGACUUACCAAACCGAUGCAAACUCCGAAUACCUAUGAGUACUAUCCGGGAGACAGACUGCGGGUGCUAACGUCCGUAGUCAAGAGGAAAACAAUCCAGACCGCCAGCUAAGGCCCCAAAAUCAUAGUUAAGUGGGAAACGAUGUGGGAAGGCAUAGACAGCUAGGAGGUUGGCUUAGAAGCAGCCACCCUUUAAAGAAAGCGUAAUAGCUCACUAGUCGAGUCGGCCUGCGCGGAAGAUGUAACGGGGCUAAAACUAUGUGCCGAAGCUGCGGAUGUAUACUUUGUAUACGUGGUAGGGGAGCGUUCUGUAAGCCGAUGAAGGUGUGUUGAGAAGCAUGCUGGAGGUAUCAGAAGUGCGAAUGCUGACGUGAGUAACGACAAAACGGGUGAAAAACCCGUUCGCCGAAAGACCAAGGGUUCCAGUCCAACGUUAAUCGGGGCUGGGUGAGUCGACCCCUAAGGCGAGGCCGAAAGGCGUAGUCGAUGGGAAAAUGGUUAAUAUUCCAUUACUUCUGUGUAAUGCGAUGAGAGGACGGAGAAGGCUAAAUCAGCCUGGCGUUGGUUGUCCAGGUGAAAGGAUGUAGGCAUGUAUCUUAGGCAAAUCCGGGGUACUCUAUGCUGAGAUCUGAUAGCAAGCUGUACUUGUACAGCGAAGUGGUUGAUGCCAUGCUUCCAGGAAAAGUCUCUAAGCUUCAGUUACACAGGAAUCGUACCCGAAACCGACACAGGUGGUCAGGUCGAGUAGACCAAGGCGCUUGAGAGAACUCUGCUGAAGGAACUAGGCAAAAUGGUACCGUAACUUCGGGAGAAGGUACGCUGUUGUUGGUGAUGGAACUCGCUUCCUGAGCUGACGACAGCCGCAGAAACCAGGCCGCUGCAACUGUUUAUUAAAAACAUAGCACUCUGCAAACACGAAAGUGGACGUAUAGGGUGUGAUGCCUGCCCGGUGCUGGAAGGUUAAUUGAUGGGGUUAGCGUAAGCGAAGCUCUUGAUCGAAGCCCCAGUAAACGGCGGCCGUAACUAUAACGGUCCUAAGGUAGCGAAAUUCCUUGUCGGGUAAGUUCCGACCUGCACGAAUGGCAUAAUGAUGGCGGCGCUGUCUCCAGCAGAGGCUCAGUGAAAUCGAAAUCGCUGUGAAGAUGCAGUGUACCCGCGGCUAGACGGAAAGACCCCGUGAACCUUUACUGCAGCUUGACACUGAACUUUGACCUUACUUGUGUAGGAUAGGUGGGAGGCUUUGAAGCUGGAACGCUAGUUCCAGUGGAGCCGUCCUUGAAAUACCACCCUGGUAAUGUUGAGGUUCUAACUCUGUCCCGUGAUCCGGGACGAGGACCGUGUCUGGUGGGUAGUUUGACUGGGGCGGUCUCCUCCUAAAGAGUAACGGAGGAGUACGAAGGUGCGCUCAGCGUGGUCGGAAAUCACGCGUAGAGUAUAAAGGCAAAAGCGCGCUUAACUGCGAGACCCACAAGUCGAGCAGGUACGAAAGUAGGUCUUAGUGAUCCGGUGGUUCUGUAUGGAAGGGCCAUCGCUCAACGGAUAAAAGGUACUCUGGGGAUAACAGGCUGAUACCGCCCAAGAGUUCAUAUCGACGGCGGUGUUUGGCACCUCGAUGUCGGCUCAUCUCAUCCUGGGGCUGAAGCAGGUCCCAAGGGUAUGGCUGUUCGCCAUUUAAAGAGGUACGCGAGCUGGGUUUAGAACGUCGUGAGACAGUUCGGUCCCUAUCUACCGUGGGCGCUGGAAAUUUGAGAGGAUCUGCUCCUAGUACGAGAGGACCAGAGUGGACGAACCUCUGGUGUACCGGUUGUGACGCCAGUCGCAUCGCCGGGUAGCUAUGUUCGGAAGGGAUAACCGCUGAAAGCAUCUAAGCGGGAAGCCUACCUCAAGAUAAGAUUUCCCUAGGACUUUAUGUCCUCUAAAGAGCCGUUCGAGACUAGGACGUUGAUAGGUUGGAUGUGGAAGCAUAGUGAUAUGUGAAGCUGACCAAUACUAAUUGCUCGUGAGGCUUGACU
rnacentral:rRNA from 2 species